rnacentral:rRNA from 1 species
CCUACGGGGGGCAGCAGUGGGGAAUAUUGGACAAUGGGCGAAAGCCUGAUCCAGCCAUGCCGCGUGUGUGAAGAAGGCCUUCGGGUUGUAAAGCACUUUCAGUGGGGAAGAAAGCCUUGGGGCUAAUACCCUCGAGGAAGGACAUCACCUACAGAAGAAGCACCGGCUAACUCCGUGCCAGCAGCCGCGGUAAUACGGAGGGUGCGAGCGUUAAUCGGAAUUACUGGGCGUAAAGCGCGCGUAGGCGGUCUGAUAAGCCGGUUGUGAAAGCCCCGGGCUCAACCUGGGAACGGCAUCCGGAACUGUCAGGCUAGAGUGCAGGAGAGGAAGGUAGAAUUCCCGGUGUAGCGGUGAAAUGCGUAGAGAUCGGGAGGAAUACCAGUGGCGAAGGCGGCCUUCUGGACUGACACUGACGCUGAGGUGCGAAAGCGUGGGUAGCAAACAGGAUUAGAUACCCGAGUAGUC